GGGAAUGUAGCUUAGUGGUAGAGUGUUUGCCCUGUAUGCAUGAAGCCGUGGGUUUGAUUCCUCAGUACCA
rnacentral:tRNA from 1 species